UCCGCAGUGAGCCUCGCAGGCCUCUCCACGCGUUGCUAACCUGGCCAUCCGCGCUGCUCCAUCCACAGCCCGCUGCAAGACCUAACCUGACGCGUGCAGGCAAGCUGGCCGGCCGGCCGCUGGUCGUGCUGCACGCUGUCGCUCUGGGAGCUACGGGUGCGGGUGCGUGUUGAGGCAGCGCCCAACUGAAGGUGGGGUCCGGCUGCCGUGGUGCCUGGCCUGGAGCUCACGAAUCGCCUCAAUGGGGUGAGUGGUCAUGGUUCGGUUCUCGUUCAGUGGUCGCCCACAUCUCCGACGCCGCCCCGUAGAACUCAAGCUCGAGGCCGACCGGCUCGCCUCCGCGCUUAGAGCCCGCCGGAUCUCCUGCUCCCCACAAGCUCCACCACCGCUGGGCCACACCCGCGCCCCCGCGCGCCUCCGAAUCCCCGACCGCUGGGCCACCCCCGCGCCCCCGCGCGCCUCCGAAUCCCCGACCGCUGGGCCACCCCCGCGCGCCUCCGGACCCCCCUCCCCCCAAAGCUCGACCACCACCGGGACAUGCGCCGCCGGGAUCCCCCUCCAGGGCCGGCCCUGAGGGGGGGCAGAGGGGGCGGCCGCCCCGGGCCCCCCAAAGUCUAGGGGCCCCCACCCAGCUAGCAUGCACGUACGCAAGGCCCAGGGAUGCAGGUCAGCGCAUGCACAAAAGGCCUGUACGCGUUGUCCUCCGAUGCAUGUAGCUAGCCCACGGAGCCGCUGAUUCCUCAUCUCGUCAGUCGAUCUGCUAGCGUGUACGCGUUGCCCUUGCUCGGAUUUCCUUCUAAUCGUGACGAUGUUCCCUAUUCAUCUAUUCCUCGAUAUAUUAUUCCUAAAAAAGAAAUCUAUUCCAAGAUCUCGCAUGCUCAUGGCCGAACCGAACAAACCGGAGACAGCCGUCGUUCCUUGUUUCCCUUCCUCUCGCGGCAAGCCGGCGAUGGGGAUGGAUGAGGGAGCGACGUUGAUGCUGGAUUUCAAAGGUGGUGGCCCGUGCAGUUCUAUCUGACGACGGCCAUGGUGGCAGCCGGAGAUCUGAUGUUCCAGAUGCAGGUCACAAUUUGCGCGCCGGCGAACUGCGCCGCUCUCCGGUCGCCAGGUGAUGCAAAUCAUCAAGCGCCUCCUAUCUCACGUCAGACUAAAUCGCAUCAUGGCCAUUGCCUGAUCAGGUGGUCAACGCUGCUCCGAUCAAUCCGAGGUGGUGGUGUCGCAAGCCUACUCAAAACAGAAGGUGAAUCAAGUGCAGAGCUAGAUGGCAGUUCCUUACCUCAACUCGUCUUAGAUUGUACGAUCUUGGUUCUAGUGUCUUUCAGAUUGUUCAUAGUGAUCAAUAAAUAUAAUUCUGAAGUGACACAACAAAUGGAGCUAUGCUCCCCGGCAACGUCACCAGAAAGAGGUCUUGAUAACCCACAAGUAUAGGGGAUCGCUACAGUCUUUGAGGGUAGUGUUUCAUCCAAAUUUAUUGAUUCAACACAAGGGGGGCCAAAGAAUAUUUGCAAGUAUUAGCAGUUGAGUUGUCAAUUCAACCACACCUGGAGAACUAAAUAUCUGUAGCAAAGUGUUUAGUAGCAUAGUAGUACGAUAGUUUUGAUAGCGGUAGUAACAAUAGCAAUAAUAACGUUAAUGGUAAUAGUAGCAGUUUUAAAGUGAUUGUAAUAGCAGCAGUAACGAAAGUAACUUUUAGCAAAGAUCAAUAUGCCAAGAGCAUAGGCAUUGGAUCAGUGAUGGAUAUUUGUGUUGGAUGACAUUCAUCAUAAUACAGUCACAACCUAGAGCGAUACACAAUAGCUCCAAUUCAUCAAUGUAAUGUAGUCAUGUAUUCCGUAUAUAGUCAUGCGAGCUUAUAAUAAGAACUUGCAUGACAUCUUUUGUCCUACCCUCCCGUGGUAGCGGUGUCCAUAUGGAAACUAAGGGAUAUUAAGGCCACCUUUUAAUAUAGAACCGGAACAAAGCAUUAAACACAUGGUGAAUACAUGAACUCCUCAUACUACGGUCAUCACCGGAAAAAAUCCCAACUAUUUUCACUUUGGGGUAUGCGGAUCAUAACACGUAAUAGGUGCAUACAACUUGCAAGAUAGGAUCAAGAACUCAAAUAUAUUCAGGAAAACAUAGAGGGUCAGAUCUAAAAUCAUGGCACUCGGGCCCUAGUGACAAGCAUUAAGCAUAGCAAUGUCAUAGCAACAAUCUCAGAACAUAGUGGAUACAAGGGAUCAAGCCCUAACAAAUUGACUCGAUUACAUGACAAAUAUCAUCCAACUCCAUCACCGUCAAGCAAGCCUACGAAGGAAUUACUCACUCCCGGCGGUCUGCAUCAUGAAAUUGGUGAUGAAGAAGGGUUGGUGAUGAUGAUGGCGAUGAAUCCCCCUCUCCGGAGCCCUGAACGGACUCCAGAUCACCCUCUCGAUGAAGAACAGGAGGUGGCGGCGGCUUUAUAUCAUAAAACAAGAUGAAACUUCUUCUUUGGGAAAAGGAAAUUAUAGGCUUGAGAUUAGGGUCAGUGAAGCCACGUGGGCCCCACAAGGUAACCGGGCACGCCCAGGGGGUGGUCACGCCCUGCUGCCUUGUGGGCAACUGGUGGCCCCCCUUUGGUGGAUCUUCGCUCUAGUAUUUUUUAUACAUUCCAUAAAAAACCUCCAAAAAGUUUCGUCCAUUUCCGAGAACUUUUAUUUCUGCACAAAAACAACACCAUUGUAGUUCCGCUGAAAACAAUGCCAGUCCGGGUUAGUUUCAUUCAACAUGAAAAUUAGAGUCCAAAACAAGAGCAAAAGUGUUUGGAAAAGUAGAUACGACGGAGACAUAUAAUUUAUCAACAACAAUAAUCACAAGAUUCCCUUAGACAUUGUUCAUAAUUAAUUUGCACUAUUAUUUAAACAAAUUUUAAUAUAAAGUGCACUCCCACUCAUUUCUCUUAAUUGAAAGUGAGUGAUUCAAGAUCCUGGUCUUAUUCACAGCCAUUGAUGUGGAUAUCACUGAUGACGUGAACUUCAACUGGUAGGCGAACUUUUGUCGAUGAUAUCUCCAUAUGACUCUUGUUCAUAUUUCGAUGCUUUGUGCUCCGAGCUCAAAAAAAUUCUACUGGAACUUCAAGACAACCGGGUGUUUUCGCUGUGAGGUCUGACCGUCUGACAUUCACCCGCCUUACACCUCACGAUCCGUUCGUACUCAUAUGGACAUGAUGUACCCCAAAAAGCUACGUGUUAUAGACAUUUGCUACACUGAGAAGAGCACUAUCAACUUGAUAUUUUCCGUGAGAGAUCACCCUAAUAAUUGUGUAUUGUGCAAUCAAAGGGUGCAAACAACAAAGGGAUAAACAUCUCAGGCAAUUCAUAAAUAGCAUGAUAUGGAAUAGCACUUGGCGUCGGGUAUGAGUCCAUGAUCCUCCAUGGUCUUCAUGAAAGUACUCUGAGGUGGUGUCGUAGCCACCACCAUGAUCUCAUGUGCCUUGUGAAGCCACCUAGCUCCGGGAUCCUCCGUUGCACAUGUGUCACUAUUGAUAAAAAUAAAGAGGUUGACACAUAGGUCAUUAAAGCGACAAUCCCUUGGCUCCGGCCAUGAUGUCGUACUGUGACGCGCAGGUCACUUAACGUUACAUCAUAUAACUCUCAUACAUAAAGUCAUUAUCAUGACGAAAGCUAUACCACAAGACAUGCAUCCUGCGAAAACCAAGUUAGACGUCCUCUAAUCGGUUUGGCAAAUUUUAGUUACAUGACUUCUAGGGUUUCCGGAGAAUUCUAGCUACCUACGUCCACCAUUAAGGUGACAAUUCUUGUUGCAAGAUUAACUUUCAGGGUGUGUGAGGGAACAGACUUAAAUAAAAAAUCUCUAGCCCCACAUUAAACUUCAUCAAUACACGCAUUACCCCCUAGAAGAUCGUACAUCUUCAUCGCCCUCUCGUGUUUGCGAUAGUUCACUAUUCUUGACUAUGAUGAAGCCCAAAGAACUGUUAGCAGAUCGUCGACAACCAGAGCCGAUCGAUUAUCAUAACUUUGUGCAAAGCUACAUCAUGUUGUCAAUGAACUGAACCAAAGCAACACUCGAGGGAAGAAUAGCAAGAACAUCAAACCCUCACAUCCACAUGUGAUCUAGAUCGAAAGCUGCAUCUACUCAUAGAACCGCUCAUGAUGCCACUGUUGAGAAACAUAGUAGAAAACAAAAAAAUCAUCCUACGAUCAACGAGUCCACUGAAGGGUAGUUUAGAUCGGAUCAUUACCAACUCUGAGUAGCAGCGAAAGAAGAUGAGUUGGUGUAGAUCAUACUUGAAGUCCCUCAAACCAUUCAUGAACGAUCCCUUGAACGGAAGACCGAAAGCGCGACCUCUCCAUAGUUUGCAAGCUUCCGGUCUUCACGAUCCAGCAGCGCUUCACCGUCCAGAGCUAAUCACCAUCGGAGAAUUAGAGGGGGGAGAUUAGAACCACACUGGUCUUCUAAUUAUGAGGAAUGUAGAUGAUCUAGAUCUAGCUCUAAUUGGAUCAAUUAGAACAAGAACUAGAGGACACUCCAAAACUUGUGCGUUCAAAAGUGCCCAAAACCUCUAGUAUAUAUAGGUUGGAGGAAGGGAGAUAGGCAGUUGGGCGCCACAAGGGGGGAACGUUCCCCCCUUGCACCGGCCAAGAGGAGGGGGAGUUCCCCUCCAAUUCUCCCCCGUCCUUCUCCAAGAAGAAAGGGGGACGCCACCUCCUAUUAGGCCCAUGUGGCCCAAUAUCCUUUACACCACUUGGCCUUUUAAGGCCCGUUAAUAUUUAAUUAAAUAUAAAAGCAUCCUAACUAUUAUUUGAACCUUUUAUUAUUAAUUUAACAUCUUCGGGAACAUUUUCCACCUAUAUAUUAUUUAUCGAUAUUACCCGGCAAACCCUGAAACCCUUUCGGUGACCCCGAAACACUUCAAAUUCCUCUUGAAAAUAUUUGAAUAUUAAAGAAACUAUUUCAUAAAUAUAUCCUCAUUACUCCUGUCCUACUAACACUCGGGAUAGGAUGAUUGCCUUAAGCUUGUGGCCCUAUAGGUUCGGCAAAACAUAGACAUGAGCAAAACCGCUUUCGUUCAAUGACCAAUACUGGAACCAUGCACAUCCGUAUCGAUCCCUAUGAGUACACGAAUGACAUUCGAGUGAACCUUUUUGGUUAUCGUGUGCUAUUAUGUUUUCUUCAUGAUACUUUACAAAACCCGAGCUGAGAUAUAUAGGUAUCCUCUUGAGUCAUACGUAUGCUCACUAUACCGGUCUCCUCGUUAUCGGUUUUGUUCUUCUUUCUCGUUGACAUGUUCUGGAAUCCCCGUGACCUAGUCACCUGUGUCUAGCCAGACAAUGAUGGAUGUAUUCACGUCGAGAGGGACCUAAGAAUAUCUCUCCAUCGUCAGAGGAGCAGAUCCCACUCUUGAGCUAUCUAGUCCCUUGUCAAACUUUCUGAUGAACCCAUAAGUUUUUGUUAUGAUCACUAUGUUAUAGAUAACGUUUGAGCAACCCCAAAGCCUAUCGUUGAUACGUCUCCAUCGUAUCUAUAAUUUUUGAUUGUUUCAUGUCAAUAUUAUUCAACUUUCACAUAUUUUUGGCAACUUUUUAUAUGAUUUAUUAGACUAACCUAUUGAUCCAGUGCCCAGUGCAAGUUCCUGUUUGUUGCAUGUUUUUUGUAUCGCAGAAAAUCCAUAUCAAAUGAAGUCCAAACGCGAUAAAAAUUUACGGAGAAUUAUUUUGGAAUAUAUAUGAUUUUUAGGAGGUGAAAUCGAUGCAACGGGGGCCCAUAGUGCCCACAACCCACCAGGGUGCGCCACCAGGGCCCAGGCGCGCCCUGGUGUCUUGUGCCCUCCUCGAACAUCGGUUGGAGCCCUUCUUCUGGCACAAGAAAGAUAAUUUAUGGAAAAAAAUCGUGUAAAAAUUUCAGUGCAAUCGGAGUUACGGAUCUCCGGGAAUUUAAGAACCGUGAAGGGCCAGAUCCGGGGGAGGCGAAACAGAAGAGAACAGAGAGGGAGAUCCAAUCUCGGAGGGGCUCUCGCCCCUCCGCCGCCAUGGAGGCCAUGGACCAGAGGGGAAACCCUCCUCCCAUCUAGGGGGGAGGCCAAGGAAGAAGAAGAAGGAGGGGGCUCUCCCCCCUCUCUCCUGGGGGCGUCGGAGUGCCGCCGGGGCUAGGAUCGUGACGGCGAUCUACAUCAACAAUCUUGCUACUGUCAACACCAACUCUCUCCCCCUCUAUGCAGCGGUGUAACACCCCUUCUCCCCGCUGUAAUCUCUACUUAAACAUGGUGCUCAACUCGUUAUAUUAUUUCCCAACGAUCUAUGGCUAUCCUAUGAUGUUUGAGUAGAUCCGUUUUGUCCUAUGGGUUAAUCGUGAUCUUGGUUGGUAUGAUUGUAUAUUUUAUUUAUGGUGUUGUCCUACGGUUCCCUCCAUCUCGCGCAAACGUGAGGGCCCCCCGAUAUAGGGUGUUGCAAUAUGUUCAUGGUUUGCUUACUGUCAGUGUUGCGGGGGUGACAGCAGCCUAAACGCGGAUAAGUGAGUUAUGGCGUAUGGGAGUAAAGAGGACUUGAUACUUAAUGCUAUGGUUGGGUUUCAUGACCUUAAUGAUCUUUAGUAGUUGCGGAUGCUUGCUAGAGUUCCAAUCAUAAGUGCAUAUGAACCAAGUAGAGAAAGUAUGUUAGCUCAUGCCUCUCCCUCAUAUAAAAUUACAAGAAUGAUUACCGGUACUUGCUAUCGAUUGCCUAGGGACAAAUGACUUUCUUAUUGAAAAAAUCCAUCUACUUUUAUUACCUUGCAAUUUAUCCGUAGAUUUAUUCUCGCAAAGUACUCGUAGUUUUAUUCUUGCCAAAUAGUUUCAUACUUGUUUUAGGUAAAGCAAACGUCAAGUGUGCGUAGAGUUGUAUCCGUGGUCGAUAGAA
rnacentral:rRNA from 1 species